rnacentral:rRNA from 1 species
UGGGGAAUUUUGGACAAUGGGCGAAAGCCUGAUCCAGCAAUGCCGCGUGUGUGAAGAAGGCCUUCGGGUUGUAAAGCACUUUUGUCCGGAAAGAAAUCCUUGGCUCUAAUACAGUCGGGGGAUGACGGUACCGGAAGAAUAAGCACCGGCUAACUACGUGCCAGCAGCCGCGGUAAUACGUAGGGUGCAAGCGUUAAUCGGAAUUACUGGGCGUAAAGCGUGCGCAGGCGGUUUGCUAAGACCGAUGUGAAAUCCCCGGGCUCAACCUGGGAACUGCAUUGGUGACUGGCAGGCUAGAGUAUGGCAGAGGGGGGUUAGAAUUCCACGUGUAGCAGUGAAAUGCGUAGAGAUGUGGAGGAAUACCGAUGGCGAAGGCAGCCCCCUGGGCCAAUACUGACGCUCAUGCACGAAAGCGUGGGGGAGCAAACAGGAUUAGAUACCCUGGUAGUCCACGCCCUAAACGAUGUCAACUAGUUGUUGGGGAUUCAUUUUCUUAGUAACGUAGCUAACGCGUGAAGUUGACCGCCUGGGGAGUACGGUCGCAAGAUUAAAACUCAAUGAAUUGACGGGGUCAUAGCUGUUUCCU